rnacentral:rRNA from 1 species
AACGAACGCUGGCGGCAUGCCUAACACAUGCAAGUCGAACGAGACCUUCGGGUCUAGUGGCGCACGGGUGCGUAACGCGUGGGAACCUGCCCUUAGGUUCGGAAUAACUCCCCGAAAGGGGUGCUAAUACCGGAUAAUGUCUUCGGACCAAAGAUUUAUCGCCUUUGGAUGGGCCCGCGUUGGAUUAGCUAGUUGGUAGGGUAAAAGCCUACCAAGGCGACGAUCCAUAGCUGGUCUGAGAGGAUGAUCAGCCACACUGGGACUGAGACACGGCCCAGACUCCUACGGGAGGCAGCAGUGGGGAAUAUUGGACGAUGGGCGAAAGCCUGAUCCAGCAAGGCCGCGUGAGUGAUGAAGGCCUUAGGGUUGUAAAGCUCUUUUAACCGGGAUGAUAAUGACAGUACCGGGAGAAUAAGCGCCGGCUAACUCCGUG